rnacentral:rRNA from 1 species
AGAGCGAACGCUGGCGGCAUGCUUAACACAUGCAAGUCGCACGGGCAGCAAUGUCAGUGGCGGACGGGUGAGUAACGCGUAGGUAUCUAUCCUUGGGUGGGGGACAACGGCUGGAAACGGCUGCUAAUACCGCAUGAUAACUGAGGUUUAAAGGCGCAAGUCGCCUGGGGAGGAGCCUGCGUACGAUUAGCUAGUUGGUGGGGUAAAGGCCUACCAAGGCAACGAUCGUUAGCUGGUCUGAGAGGAUGAUCAGCCACAUUGGGACUGAGACACGGCCCAAACUCCUACGGGAGGCAGCAGUGGGGAAUAUUGGACAAUGGGCGAAAGCCUGAUCCAGCAAUGCCGCGUGUGUGAAGAAGGUCUUCGGAUUGUAAAGCACUUUCGACAGGGACGAUGAUGACGGUACCUGUAGAAGAAGCCCGGCUAACUUCGUGCCAGCAGCCGC